CGGAGGGACAAGUUAUUGCUAAUAACCAAACUACUAUUUGUUUCUUGUUCCAAAAGAUGAACCUUUAGGAAGACAAUUAAAUUUGAUAUUUGUAUGUCUCUAUCAGUUCUCUGUUGGGAAUGUAAUUGCUAAAUAUUUAAUGGAUUCUGUUUUGUAAAUUAUGCAAGCUUGCAGAUAUCCGAGUGGAUGGUCAGCCAUGGUGAAUAUGAGGUAUCAGAUUCUGACUAUGCAGUCCGCAUUGUCUUGAUGACAAAAGUUUUUGGUAUUGAUUCUGCGGAACGCUACUUUGAAGGUCUACCUCUUACUGCAAAAACUACUGAGACCUAUACUGCUCUCCUCCACUCGUAUGCUGGGGCUAAAUUGACUGAAAAGGCUGAGGACCUCUAUGAGAAAAUAAAGGAGUCUAAACUUUCCCUUAGUGCCCUUACAUACAAUGAGAUGAUGACUAUGUACAUGUCAGUGGGGCAAGUGGAGAAGGUCUCUUUAGUUGUUGAAGAACUGAAACGGCAGAAGGUUGCACCAGAUAUCUUCACAUACAAUCUCUGGAUAAGUUCAUGUGCUGCAACUCUGAAAAUUGAUCAAGUUCAACAGAUUUUGGAUGAAAUGAGAUAUGAUCUUGGUUUUGGUGAAGACUGGGAGAGAUACAUUAACCUGACAAAUAUCUAUGUUAGCGUUGGGCAUCUUGUGAAUGCAGAGUCCAAUUCUCUAGUAGAAGCUGAGAAAGGAAUCACACAAAGAGAAUGGAUUACAUACGACUUCCUCAUUAUUUUGCAUGCUGGUUUAGGAAAUAAAGACAGAAUUGAUCAGAUAUGGAAAUCCUUGAUAAUGACGAGACAAAAGAUGACAAGUAGAAACUAUAUUUGCAUUCUUUCUUCAUAUCUAAUGCUUGGGCAGCUAAAAGAAGUGGGAGAAGUUAUUGAUCAGUGGAAGCAAUCAACCACUACAGAUUCUGUUGUUUCUGCCUGUAAGAGGCUUUUGAAUGCAUUCACAGACGUUGGAUUCACUGAAAAAGCCCACGACUUCAAGAUGCUUCUGAUUCAGAAGAACUGUGACCCUACAAAUUCAUUAGAGUAGAACCAAAAAUGAGUUUUGUAUGAGAUAAUGGGACGUGUAUAGGCCAAUUUUGUGAUGUCUGGACCAUUUGGAAGAGGAACUAAUUAAAAAGUUCUUGCGGAUUUUCCUUAUACCAAAUGACUGAAUAAAACGACAGUAUGAAACCGUCAUUGAGUUGGUACAUGUGCUUCUUGCUUUCCAUGUUUAAGUCUUGAAGUAUAUUGUCUUCAUGAAAUUGAAAGUUUGUAUUUAUCUUCCCCAUCUUCGGUUUCUUUGGUUCCGAUUUCCUGGUACCUCAUCUCAAGUCAGGUAAGGUUGCUUUUUAAACUCUUCUGGUUUCCUCAUUUUGGUUUUGCACAAAAUGUAAGUAUGGUACUAUAGUUUAUGGCAAUUACCUGGCCCACAAAAUAUCAGGAUGGCUAGAGAACACAUGCUUACAAAAGUAAGUAGCACUUGAACACUUGAAGGUUGAAGCCAUUCUAGACUCAUGUUUCAGCAACAUUGUAACACCAUUGUUGAGUAUUAGAGUUGAGUGAAAUGCAUGUGGGUUAGGCCAAUUGGCGAGAAUAGCGAACCCACUUUCUUGCACCUAAGUUUGAGUACCCCCUCCUUGCAUAUUGGAUUAAUUUAGAGUAGUUCCAUGAAUAAAUAAUAUGAAGCCAUGGUGAAAGGUAGGGGUUUUGACCAAAUAAACCAAUGCAAAUCGGCGAACCCACUUAACCAAACUAAUCAGUUCGAUCUUAUUUUCCAAGAUUUCAAUUUUGGUUCUUAAUCUGAAUCGAACCACUCCUACUCAGUCCAAUUUAUAGUUCACAGCCUCCAAUAUUGUCGAUUCAACUUAACCGAACCAACACCACCAUAAUCAGGACCAAGUGGAUUUGAACCCUUGAGCACUCAUAUAGAAUUCCAACACAACUCCACUAUGGUAAGUCAGUUUCUUGUGCCCUUGUGGGCUUUAGUUGGGCCUGGCCGGGCUUAUGUUGUCUUUAUGGCCCUCGUUAAGCGUGAAAUAAAGCUAAUGCAGCCUAUUGAUCGUUUGGGCCCAACCACUUCCUCAAGUGGUCUGGCCUUUAUUCUUUGGCUGCAUCCUUAAAGAUUAUUCGGACCUUCCCACAAGUAAAAGCACAGAUUUGUUUUAGAAGUUAUUCUAUUAUAAGAACGUUAAUUUUUUUUAUAUAUGAAAAAUCAAAGUGUUUCAUGAAAAAGCAUUUGGAAUCAAUUUUAAGUACCUGAAAAAACGCUUUUAUAACUCAUAAGUAUUUUAAUUUUUCUAUCAAACAAUGUCAAAAACACUUUUAAUUAUCAGAAAAUGAUUUUAACCUUUUGCAUGAGGGUUCACUAAAUCUUUCUUGGCAGGUCUUUUGUCGAAAUUUCAAAACAUAAACGUGGUGAAAUUGAGACAUUGGGAUUUGAGUGCUGAUGUUAGGUUGAUAUCAAAGACCUUUUCCGUAGACUUGAAAAAAGGCUGGGUAAGUUUUAAAAACAACAUCGAAAAGCAUUCGUACGUAACUUCAUGUUUAAGCUAGUAUUUUGCUUUUUAUCUUAUUAUGCGGUGCAUCCCCUGUGUCCUUCACACGAAAAGCAAUUUUUAUAGGUUAUUAUAUACUUGAAAAUAAUAACACAGUGAACGACAUGUGAAAAAAUUAUCUCACAUUUUAUUAUGAUAUUAAUCAAAAAUAUCAAAAAGUGUUAUUCCCGUUGCAAAAGAGUUUCUCUAGUUAGCUGUACUUUCGAGCUCCCCACAACAAAAUGGGAGAAGUUUUUGUCGAACUUCAAGGAACCAUCUUUUUAAUCAAUUCCGAGAUUUAUUAUGGAACUUUUCCAAGAAUCGAAGGCCAGACAUGGAGGAUGAUUGGCCCAACUUUAAUUCUCGAGUUGCUAGCUUGAAUAUGCAUCGUCUAUUCUCGAGUGGGCUCCACCUCUAUUAGAGAGUUGGUACACAAGUUGGUAUCUAAAGUUGGUCUCCCUAGCAUCACCCUUUCAUUAAAGGUUGCCAUAUACUUACCGGCACGGCAAUUCUGUUUUUUUUAAAUUUAAUUUGAGUUACUUGAAAACGAAGCAUUGGUGGCUCUUUUUCUCUUCAUGGUCUUACUUUCAUCGUUGAAUGCAUCGUAUCAAGACAAGUUUGAUAGAUUCAAUAAGAAAAAAAGGAAAAGGGACAAAGAAUAUAAAUAUUUCAUUACAACAGAGAAAGGACCAUGAACCAUAGACUUUUAGCAUGAAAGACUGGAUUCUGUUGUGACAAAUACUAUAAUUAACAACACAUAUGAUACAUUUGUGACUUGCUUCUGCCAAGCGCUGCCUUGUGUCCGUGACAAAUACCAACCGCAGCUAACACGAAUUCGAUGUUAUGAUUUUAUCAUUCAAAUGUGCUGCAUAUAAAUGAUGUCUAUGAAAUACAUCUAAAAUUCUCAUGAGUAUGCAUUUCAUAGAUAUCAAUCACGCGUAGCACAUUUUAGAAAGAAAUUAACACAUAUGAUAUCUAUGUGACAUAUUUAUAUUUAUUUAGCGAAUGUUGUUGAACAUGAAAUUCCGUCUCAAAAAAAAUCUUUAGGUAACAUGUUGGUGGCCGAAAUUUUUGAAUGUGCAAGUUGGUCGCUAAAUGCCAUUAUUCCUUUGUAACAAAAGUUUUCAAAACAAAAAGUUUACAUAUAUGUUUGGCGUUGAACAUAUGUUCCUUGUAAAUGAUGUCUUUUGGGAUUAAGCGUGCAUAUUUGGUGCCAAUAAAGUGUUUCUCUCGGAAAACAUCUUUGUCUGCCAUUUGCCUUCGUCUUCGUAGCUAGAAAAUGCCUCCCAAAAGUCUCGAGACAAUUUUUUUUUUUUUUGGGGUAACGAAACGACAUGAACUCUAAAAUGAUAGAAACUUUCUUUAAAAUGAAUAUUGUAGUUAAGAUGUCAAAAGAAACAUAAUGGAGAUACAAAAAACAAUAAAGAAUGGCUGAAUGAGCUGUUAUUGGUGUAGUAUAGCAUUAUUCUCGUGUCCUUAUUAUUCCCUAUUUCCAUAUUCUAUCUCCGAAAGUAUCAAAACUAAUAAUUUUCAAUUCUACAUCGCAACAUAUGUGCAUUCCCUUCUCAAGAAACGCCAACACAAAGUACAGAGAGAGAGAGAGAGAGAGAGAGAGAGAGAGAGAGAACUACUACUAAAUCACAUCAAUCCCAAAAUUCAUUCAUUCCCAGUUGAUCUAAUGGCAAUGAGAAAAGAAGCCCCAGAACUUGCAGAAAGAUCCUCCUCAAACCCUAACAAACCUCACCGCCAUACCCUCUCUUUCUACUCCCCAAAACUCUCCUUCUAUAUCUUCUCAGCUUGUGUCACCCUCUUCGUCGUCCUCCACAUCAAAACCCUCCAAACCGACCAAAAUCCCACGUCGUCAUUAUGGUUCCACAAGCACCAACGGCAACGAGUCACCACCAACACCACCUCCACAAUGGCCGAGAAGCUCCGCCAAGCGGUCACAUUUCUCCCGCUCAAAGACCUACGCUACGCGGGCCCGGCUGCUCUCCAGGGCCACACGUGGUUCAUGAGCUCCAUGUACGACAAGCAGGACGAGGAGGGCGGGGCCCAGUACCAGCAGUUCCCCUCGCCCUCCUCCCAUGGGCGGCUCCUCUGCCUCAAAGGCCGCGACAACCACGACGGCUCCUGGAACUCCUACGCCCUCGCCUUCCCAGAAGCUCUCCCCCACAACACGACGCUCAUGAAAGGCUUGACGUUCGUGUCGUACAACCACUACAACUACGACAACAUCUGGCACGGCCUGACCGCUGUCGUGCCCUUCGUCUCGUGGCACAUAAAGAAUUCGUGUGCUGUCCCCGACCGGUGGAUUUUGUACCACUGGGGGGAGAUUAGAGCAAGGAUGGGAGUCUGGUUGGGGAGCUUGAUGGAGGCUACUUUCAGUGGGGCCCCGCGUGUCGAGGUGUUUGAUGACGUGGAGGAAGGGAGGGCCGUUUGUUUUGAGAAGGCUGUGGUGAUGAGGCAUAACGAGGGUGGGAUGUCGAGGGAGAAGAGGUUGGAGGUUUUUGAUCUGAUGAGGUGCAAAGCGAGAUUGUUUUGUAAUGUGAGCUUGGAUGAACAAAAUUACAAGAGUACCCGUAGUGUAACAAAGAGAAUUGGAGUCACAUUGUUUAUGAGGACAGGGCCUAGGUCGUUCAAAAACGACACCGCUGUGAUUGGGAUCUUUGAGAGGGAGUGUGCUAAGGUGGAUGGUUGUCGGCUCAUGGUGGCUUAUUCUAAUAACCUCACUUUUUGUGACCAGGUGCGCAUUUUUAUUCAAAUCUUUAAUCACUUGACGAUGGUUUUUAAUGUUCAUCUUUAACCACACUUACGAAUUUGGUCAGUUUGUAAUCAAUAGGUCUUCAAAUCGUUCACUUUAAAAUAAAUUAAAACGACCCUUUUUGUUCGUUGAUCAUGAUCUUUUUUAAAAGUUUGAAUAUUUCUUAUAGUUAAUGAAGGAACAUCAAUUUUUAUUUUCAAUUAGAUUAUGAUACCAAAUGAGUGAUGAUUGAAUCAUUUGUACUUUCAUGUUGUACAUAAUUGACUCUUUUUUUGUUUGGGUAAGAUAUUAUAUGAGUAGUUCAUAUUUAGUGUUCAUGCGUGGGGCAAAGGAAUCUUUUAUUCUUUUAAUUGGGUAGCCGAGUAAGGACCACGUGAUUACAUUAUUAGAAGAGAUGAAAGGCAUAAUGGAGUGAUCAGUAGGAAUUUUAUAUACAAGUCGAGGUCAACAAAGAGUAUUUGCUUUUGAAAGAAUUUAUAUUGGUUUAAGGCCAUCGAAGUGGGGAGACACAGAAGAAGUUUGUGAGUGGAAAUCUUGGUAGAGGAGAGGUGUAAUUGUAGACAGUAUGACUAAUUGGUAGUAGAUAAAGAUACACUUACGUAAAAUUACAUAGAAUUAUUGAGUCUUUUACGUAAAUAGUUUACUCUGAUAUUAUAUUAAAAUGUACAUUCAACGCAAUACCAAUUGACAAUAUAUAGAGAGACUCAACUUCCAACCUAUGUUACUCUCAAUAUUUUCCAUAAAAACUAUGCCUUGUAGAUUUGAAUUAUGCUCUUUUUUGCCAGUUUUGUUCCUUUUAAAAGGAUUAUCCAAUUGUUUCUUCCUAAUAUCUGAUUGGUCAAUCCAGGUGAAGGUAAUGAGCUUGACGGACAUUUUGGUAUCUCCACAUGGUGCGCAGUUAACCAACAUGUUCUUGAUGAACAGAAACAGCAGUGUCAUGGAGUUCUUCCCAAAAGGUUGGCUAAAACUAGCCGGGGUAGGCCAAUAUGUCUUCCACUGGAUCGCCAGCUGGUCAGGCAUGAGGCACAAAGGAGCAUGGCGCGAUCCAGAUGGUGACACGUGUCAGUAUGGAGAAGAUGAUCGUCGAUGCAUGUCCAUCUACAAGCAUGGGAAAAUUGGACACAAUGAGACCUACUUUGCAGGGUGGACUAGAAAUGUUAUAGAUGAGGUGAAGACGAGGAAGAUGGAAGAAGCGAAAAUGGCUAUUCCAAAUUCUAAUGGUUGUUCCUGUAUUUAAUUAAAUUCAACUCAAUUCAGUACAAUUCAUGAUUUUUUGGUGUUGCCUAAGCCUAAUAUAGCAUACGACUUCUUUAAGGUAGCUUAGUACAUACUAGGUUUGGACACGGAUCGGUUCGGAACGAUAGAAGACUUUUUCGUUAACCAAACUAAAGACUUCGGUAGACCAUUUUCUCUUCUGUUAACCGAACCAAAGACUUUGGUAGACUUCGAAUCAGUUAACCUAAUAUUCGGUUCGGAUUGGUUCGGUACGCCGGUAGUACCGUAAUAAAAACAUACUAAUAAAAAUACAAUUUAUAAAACUUUCACAUAACAUAAGUUCUUGAACAAAUACACCAAAUUAUCCUUGUAAAAUACAAAAAUCCACUAGUCUAAUUCAUCCAAGUAUGAAAUCAAAUAAUUUAGUGACUAUAUCAUUCAAUAUAUACUCAAGAUCUACUGGGAGCCACUUGUGUUUGUUGUUUGAACAUUUGAGUGUUAUUUUUACUGAAUUCUCAACAUUUAUAUAAAUGAUUUUGACAUUUGUUUUGCGUUGGGUUCUUUAGUUUUUCAUGAUGAUCCAACCAUCUAAAGAACAUAAAAUUUGGAUCAAUCGUUGGAAAGUUACAGAUAUAAAAUGGGACAAAUGUCAAAACUGGAAAACAUAGGAAAUUCAUAAAUUCCUCUUUGACCAAAAAGUGCUACAGUACCCGGGUGAUAAAAAAGUAAUAGAAUGGUGAUAAAGUAGUGAUACAAUGGUGAUAAAGAAGUGAUACAACAGUGAUAAAGGAGUGAUAUAAAAUGCUGAUUGUAUUUAUCUUUGGUUUCUUGUUUUGUAUUUAAAUAAUAGAAUGAGUAUAAAUAUCGGAUAGGAACAGGUUUCCGUCAAGUUAGGAAUAUUAUUUCCGUUAACCAAAUCAAACAUCUCGGUACGAAUCGAAUCAUAAUAGAAUAAUUAAAAUUAAAAAAUAAUUGUUGACGCUCAAAAAUGGUUCGGCACUUUUGAGCCCAACUUAGUGAUGAUGUGUGAUGGAUGAUGGGUGAAGGUGAGGACCUUCACCAAGUGUGUGAGGAUUUGGGCAAGCGAUAAAUAUACAGAAGACAAGAUAUACGUGGUUCACCCUUAAUGAAUGGGCUACGUCCACGGAGAAGUAUAUUCUCACUAUAAUAAUGUAUGUGUUUACAUUUGUACAUGGGGUUGAACCCAAAUAUAAAGGGAAGAAGGGAGAAGCCCAUGACUAAAGAUAAAGCCCAGCCCAUGGAUCGAUCCCCUCCUAAGUGGAGAAUGGUCUUCUUUUAUAGAUGAGGGGGAGUCUACACAUCUUGUAAUAUUCCAAUGUGGGACUCUUUGCUUUGCCUAGAGUUGCUUCUAGUUGCUUGGUCAGAUAUGGUAUAAACAGAAGUCCCCUAAGUUCUCAAGUAAGGAGGUACUUCUUAGUUGAGGACUUGUAAUUUUCAAUGCACUGACUGAGCAACACCUUAGUCUUCUUCCGAGUAGUGUGGUGUGGAUGGUGCCGUUUGUUAUAGCACUUGGAGCUGUGAGUAGACUUUUCUACCGUUGCCGCUUGGUAAUUUUGGGUGGCCAUUAAAAGACUGCACUCAAAUUACCGUUCGGUAUAAUUUGAGUAAGCCACUGAAUCCAUAUAGAUCGCAUGCACCUCUCUUAGUGUGAUGGAGUAAGUGGGUGUCGUUCAGUAUCCCAUGAAUAAGCAGCAAGCAAGCAUGUUCUCUGAUUUCUGAAAUUGAUGGAGAAUUGGCAACAAGCAUGGUUACUCACUGUCCACUGUCUUGCCGUUCGGCAAGCAAAUAGGCAGGUUUGGUGGGACUUGUUGUAUGGUAGCCGUGUAAGACCUUGGCUCUUGUGAAGCUUUUGCUCAUAAUGGCUGAUGGCUAUGAAUAACAUUCUUUUUGGGCGUCAUCUGUAUAUUUGACGCAAAAUCUGAGUAGAGACGGUCAAGGGAGGUCACACAGGUGCUGCCACUCGAUAAUUUUGAGAGUUCAGCAUCCUUGGGUGCCUUGAGAAGUCCCAUGCUCAGUGAUGGAUAAAGAUCCAGUUUGUUCAGUGCCUUCAGCGAUAUGGAGCCUUGAUUAGUUGUUUGGCAUGGUGACGUACCGCGACGCAUUUAUAUUUGAAGCUGCUGAAGCUUAUUUGUUGUAGACAUGUAUUCUCCAAUGGUGAGAAGACACCAAGGUGAGAAGACAUCUUUAUAUUGAAUGUGGGUCUGCUCCUUUCGCCAUGCAACGCGACAGCUACAUUUGGGUUGAAUGGUGGCCGCUCCCACAGUCAAAGAAGCCAUGCAAAGUGGGGUGCCGAAGGCAUCACACACAUCGGAGAGGCAGGAUGCCGAAGACAUCGCUCGAGCCUAAUGAUAGCGGAGUGCCGAAGGCAUCGUUCGCGCCGAAUAAGGAUUGUGUGCCGAAGGCAUCUCUUGUGCUGAAUAAGGACGGGGUGCCAAAGGCAUCACACACGUCGAAGAGGCGGGAUGCCGAAGACAUCUCAUGCGCCGAAUGACUAAGGCUUGUAUAACAAGCUUGAGUCCCCAUACUUUUACUGUAUGAAAGGGUGCCGAACGACACAAUAUCGCAUGGCGAUUGUUGAAGAUAUGAAGCUUGCAUAUUAUGCGAAUGUUCUAUUUAAUAGACUAGUGCUUUUCUUUGAGCUCAUUGUGGAAGAUCAUCAUCAAUGGUUAUUGCCGAUGGCUAAUAAUCGUGGGUUUUUUCUUUUGGCGUAUAUGCCGAUGAUCUUUACCAAUGGCUAUUGCCGAAGGCUAAUAGGCUUGGGUUUUUACUUUUGGCGUAUAUGCCGAUGAUCUUUACCAAUAAUUAUUGCCGAUGGCUAAUAAUCUUGGAUUUUUUCUUUUGGCGUAUAUGCCGAUGAUCUUUACCAAUGGCUGCAUAAUCUUUACCAAUGGCUAUUGCCGAAGGCUAAUAGGCUUGGGUUUUUACUUUUGGCGUAUAUGCCAAUGAUCUUUACCAAUGGCUAUUGCCGAUGGCUAAUAAUCUUGGAUUUUUUGCUUUUGGCGUAUAUGCCGAUGAUCUUUACCAAUGGCUAUUGCCGAAGGCUAAUAGGCUUGGAUUUUUACUUUUGGCGUAUAUGCCGAUGAUCUUUACCAAUAAUUAUUGCCGAUGACUAAUAAUCUUGGGUUUUUUGCUUUUGAGAUGCCAAUUCAGGGAACGGCAUGUAACUUUUUUAUCGUAUUUCUCUUUUGACAGCCGCUGAUUUGAAGGUGGGUGUGUAGAGAACUAUAGGAGAUAUUGGCAUGAAUAUUCCUUGCCAUGUUUCGUAGUGCAUAUGCUGGUGCAUGUAAAGCCAUCCAAAGUUGGGCAAUAUUCUGGACCACAAAUGAGCCUGAUAAGAUCUUAAUAAAAUAAAAAUAAGAUAAAAAAGAUGAGGACUGUUCCACUUAUCUUUUUUGGAGAAGGAUGAUCGUGAUGUGCUCAUAUUGAUACCCUUUUGAAUGGCGACCGAUAAAACCAGAGGGGUAGAUAAUAGCCAUUUUGCUGUACAAUACUUCCCACUUGCUGGUUUAGAUUUUGGAGAUGAAUCCCAUAUGGUUCGGCAUGUUGACUCUGUCGUUCAACAAGGUUUGGUUGGGGCAGAUUUGGGUCUGUGCUUUGCCAUUCUGAUAGACCAUUCAUUAGAGAGCUUUUGUCCAGCAUGGUGGUGCGACAGAGCUUCGUGGUUGCUUUCAGCACAGGUGGUACCAAACGGUAAUGUCGUUCGGAACCCUUGGAUGGCUUGAAAGAUUGUGGUAUUGAAGAGAGGGAGUGCAGAACGGUAAUUGGUUUGCUAGCCCUGAACAGGGACGUUCAUCCUCUGUGGGGCACCAAUCGGAAGCUGUCGAUCUACUGGAGGUCUGGGAAUAUCAGUUGGCUCAAUUCUGUCUUACCGAAUGGUGUGAUGAUUUGUCCUGUUAGGAAGGUGGUUCCCAGGUGAGUCAUGCCCGGCAUUACCGUUCGGCAAUUUGGAAGUUCGGACGAGGAGACAACACCUUGUGGUGCCAAGAUGAAGAUUUCGGCAUGGGCCAUACCUCCUUCGGCAGCUUCUCUCAUGGUGGGGAUGCACAUGGGCAUCCGUUAGAUUGGAACAGGUUUCUGCUCCUUUAACCAUGCAACGUGACAGCCACAUUUGGUUUAGAAGGUGGCUGCUUCCUCAGUCAUGGAAGCCAUGCAGAGCAAGGUGCCGAACGGUAAAGGCUUAUGAUUUGAAUGUGUAUGGCGUUCAGCAUUUACCAUUUUCUCUUUGGAAUGAUGAAUUACGUGGUCUUCCCCUUGGAAUUGAAAUGGAGGUGUUGCCGAACGGCGCUUUUGGAUUUUAUUGAGAUGAUGGUUUCACUCUUGGUCAUGCAAGCCAUGCAAAGUGAUGACCACAUUCUGAUUGACUUUUCCUUGAAAUAUCAUCUUCUGUAAUUUGUUGCCUUAGCAUUCAUGGUUACUCCAACAUGGGAUUGCCGAACGGCAACCUAGGUGAUGCUGAUUGUAAGGGUGCCGAAGGGCACUGAAGAAAGGGAAAAUGACAGAAGCCUUUUGUGUCGAUUCCCACAGACGGCGCCAAACUGUUGACGCUCAAAAAUGGUUCGGCACUUUUGAGCCCAACUUAGUGAUGAUGUGUGAUGGAUGAUGGGUGAAAGUGAGGACCUUCACCAAGUGUGUGAGGAUUUGGGCAAGCGAUAAAUAUACAGAAGACAAGAUAUACGUGGUUCACCCUUAAUGAAUGGGCUACGUCCACGGAGAAGUAUAUUCUCACUAUAAUAAUGUAUGUGUUUACAUUUGUACAUGGGGUUGAACCCAAAUAUAAAGGGAAGAAGGGAGAAGCCCAUAACUAAAGAUAAAGCCCAGCCCAUGGAUCGAUCCCCUCCUAAGUGGAGAAUGGUCUCCUUUUAUAGAUGAGGGGGAGUCUACACAUCUUGUAAUAUUCCAAUGUGGGACUCUUUGCUUUGCCUAGAGUUGCUUCUAGUUGCUUGGUCAGAUAUGGUAUAAACAAUAAUUAUUUAAUCAAACCAAACCAAACUGUCGAUAUGAUACAGUCACUACGUGGAUAAUUCGGAUGAGAUGCCCAUCCCUAGUACAUACUAUAUUGUGUAUACAUGGACAUCGGUUUUGUUAAAAGCGAAGGAAUAACUGAAAGUACUUAUGAAGCGCUUACGUAAUGCUUUGCUUUUAAUAUUUUCAGCUUUAGACGUGAUAAACAUGGCAGAAAUUAAUGAGUGAUGAGUUACUCUACAUUUAGUACGUGUGAUUAAUCAAUUUUUAUUAUGUUUCUCUCCCUUUCAUAUUCAUGGAAAUUGUAUAAAUAGGAACACAACAUCCAAUCCAUACAACAAAUUCACAAAUAGAUAAACAAAAAAAGAAUGAAAGCAAAGUAAUUACACAUAAAUGGAUGCAAGGCUAUUUGGCUUCAUGUUCUUGUCCCUGCUCUUGCUUUUCUCAAGUCUGCGUAAGUCUCUCUCUUUCACGACAAAGUAAUUUAGCUUUUUUUAUAUAUAUAAUUUUUCUUGAGUUUUGGUUGAUGAAGGAAUAGGGCUAGAUUAUUUUCUCAAUAAAAGUUGUGGCGCAAUAUUGAACGUUAGAUCUUACUAAUGAUUAAAAAUCAAGAUUGAAGGCAUUAAUAAUGGUAAUUUUGUUCCCAACAAAAAAAGAAAGAAAGUUAAAAUUACAUUGGUUUUAAGGAGGAAUUCCUCCUCAAUCUUAAUCUUAAGGAUCCAAGCUUUUCCCUCUCUUUUAUUUGUUUGUUAGUUACUGACUAGCCCAUCUGCGAGUGUGGCAAUUUAAUUUUUUUGUUCUUAUUUCUUAUUUUUAAAUUUUUUAAAAACUAAGAUUUAUAAUAUAUUUUUUAAUGUUUCGGAGUUGAGUGGAGAGUCUCCUAGCGCAACUACCGAAAUUUUUUUUCUUUUUUCUUUUUAAAUUUACUUUAAACAAACUGUGAAUGUUCUAAUUUAUCCUGAUUUAAUGAAGUGUCUUCUGUUUCAACAUAUUCAUUAACUAAGGGCAGUUUGGGGGAUUUUGAAAGUUUUUUUAUCCGAGGGAAUUUUGAAUAUAUAUAUAUAUAUAUAUAUAUAUAGAUGGAUUAUCAUUUGCGAAGCAACACAUGUAAUUAUUGUUUUUAAUAUAUGGAAUUAAAAUUUCUUUUUUGAUAAUGCAGACAACACAACAACGGUUAUGGCAGAAAAUACAAGUACGAUUAUGGUAGAAGAUACAGCAACAAGACCUGUGGUUGAGCAAAAACUAUGUGAGACGUCAGUCCACUGGGCAAAACCUCUUUGCAGAAGUGAGGGGAUUUGUUUUGAUGAUUGCAAAAAUUGGGGUUGGGAAGGUGGCAAGUGCAAGUGGUUUGUUGUCUUGUAUUGUGAGUGCAAUAAGCAAUGUUAAUUCAUGGGAAAACAGAAAAAUAUGUGUGAUGUAGCAGUGCCUACCAUCUUGUCUAUGGUAUUGAAGUAUUUUAAUAAAUAAAUAUACAUGAAUAAACUCAUUCUCUACUAUAUGGAACGUUAUUGUCCACACACAUGUUUUCCAAUCCUUUUUUCAUCUAACAAAGUUGUUGCCCAACACUCAAAACAAGCCUUUUAUGUUAACGAGGUUGUUGUGUAAAUAAUCUCAUGGGAGAAUAUUCGUGAGAGAUUCUUUCACCUUUUGAAUUUCCUUUUUCAUCUUCUUUCUUGCUCCCUAUAAAAUAGAUUGGAGUCAACAUACUACACUGGCGGGGGGUUGGCCAAAGACCUUCGAUGCCUAAGUCAAUUAGAUGAUGUUUAGAAAGAUACGAAAAUAACCGAAAGGUUGGAGUUUUCUCUCACUGGGAGAGUUGGGUGGCCGGAGCCGUGAGGGAGAGAGGAGAGAGAGAGUGGCGUGAGAGAGGGAGGGAUUUUUUCAGGGUUUCAGAAUUACCUCAAGUGUGGUGAGAUGCCAUCUAUUUAUAGCCUCUUUACUUGGCUAGGGUUUGAAGAAUAAUCUCUAUUUAAUGAGGAUUAUUCUUACCCAAAAAUAGGUGAUAGGAUAAAUCAAAGUGAUUUGCUGGAAAUCGGAUCCUUGAUUUAGGGAGAUAUUCCUAUCUUAAAUCAUAGAUAAUUCCCUAAUUAAAUAGGAUGUAAUUAGGGUAAUUAUAUAGUUGACCUAAGGAAUAUUCUUUUUUUCACGUGUCACCCUCUUAUUGGUUAUCGAAAAUAUGUGUUCCCACAAAUGGCCCCUAGCUUCUGCAUGGUGUGCAUGUGGCAUGAAGGAGAUGUGACAUACUUAUUGGGCUUUCCUACUGCGUUUGGACUUCUUUUGAAGGUUGGGCUCCUUUUGUGAGUUGAGCUCAUAACUGGAUGAGGCUUUUGAUUACUUCUUGGAGUUGGGCUUUUAAUUGGAGUAGUUUUUUUUAUUCAUUCUUGACCAAGGAUGACCAAUCCUUAUAAAUACAAGGCCUCCUCUUCAUUACUCUUCAUCUUUUAAACUUAUAUUCCUCUACUUCCUAGCUUGUAAGAAAGAUCUAGGAGGAGAGGAGUUGAUGUGCACAACAAGGUAAGUCGAAAAAAUAUUUUUUUUGUCUUUAUUUUUUUGUGCUUCUCGGCCAGGACCAGCCGACUGGUUGUCACUGGGACGGUUGGCAACGGCUAGUGCAACAAGUGGCAAUUACAGUGGCUGUUGCUGUUUUAGGUUUUUUUUUUGUUGGCUUUUUUUUUUUCAUGUUGUAUUGAAGCCAAGACCAUUAGGCAGAGCCAAAGGAAGCGUUGCGGCUUGACGUGAGCUGAGCCGCAUCGUGAACUUGGAUGGUGUCGACGAUGGCACGGUCUAUGCUACACUUGCGGCUUAGGCAGUGCUAGCGAAGAGGUGCUGGAGGCAUGGACCGUGCUUGCUGUUUGGGCCGUGCGUUUCUCCUCCCUUUUUUUCAAUUGUAAAUUAGGGUUUUUGACUUGCGAUUUGACUUGUGAAUUUCUUCUUUUUUGCAACUAUUCAACCAUCAUGUGAUCUGACGAGGGAAGCUGAUCGUCUGGUUUACAAGUGCCUUUGUACUUGUGGGGCAAUUCUCAGGUUCAUAACAUGAGGUUAAUGGCAAACUUGCAUCGCAUCACGACCAAGGCUCAAUUUCAAAAGUGGCGUGCUAGUUUUGCUUAUGCCGUACCGAAUAAUGUGCUUGUCAGGUUGGCAGAACCUUCGACCGAUGAUGUGGUUCGCGUGGACCCGAAUGAUCCGGAUGUGAGGAUUAUCACAUUUUGCCCUUUUUACUUAUCCUUGGGUUUCAAGUUUCCCAUGUAAAAGUUCAGGAAGGUGUUUCAUGCCAUGGAGUGUGCUCCAAGUCAGUGUACUUUGAACGUCUACCGGGCGGUCAUUUGCUUUAACAACCUCAAUUGCUUUUUCAAGUUACACUUGACCUUGUAGGAGUUUUUCUACUUCUUCGAGGUGAGACGCUACGAGAAGUAUGCCCAACUUCAUGCGCGCAAGGAGAAGCUCAAAACCUAUGAUCUACCCUACAAAAAUGCCUGCCUCAGACCUGGUUCGUUUGUUGAGAAAUAUAGGGCUGCUGACUUUCUUCACAGGAAUUCAAGUCGUCUGCAUCAGCAAGGGAUGAGGAUCGAACUGGGAAGGCUGCUUCUCUGUCUGGAAAGUGCACGCCAUCUGCCAAGUUACGAGAGGUCAAGCAUGGAGCUGAUCCAACAUCGUAUACUCCCUUCGAGGCAAGAAUGGUUGCAGCUAAGAAGGCCAAGGAGUCUUCUGCUCAGGCUAAAGGUUCAAUUAGUGCACGAACUGAUGGCCUAAAGGUUGACAAGCUUAGGUCUAUUGGAAAUGUGAGCGUGUCUAAUCUUCUCAAGACAAACUUCCUAUUAAGCUCAUCUGUUUGCGCCAAAUUGGUUGAUCAUCUAUGUCAAGCUAGCAAUUUUGGCAUGUCUUCAAGCCUUUCUCCGGAGAAGCAAAAGGAUGCACUUAUCGCUUUGCUUCAAAAAAGGAUGAUUUUUGCUGCUGAAGCUAUUCGGAGCUCGUCUCAUGUUGUCCCCUCUACUGCCUAGCUCAAGCAAUUGGAGAAGAAUAAUGAUGAUUUGACCAGCAUGCUCUCGAUCUAGCAGACACGCCAUGAGACGAAGAUGUCUGUCUUGAAUAAGGAUAUGUCCCUGCUGAAGAGUUCACUUGGUUUCAAAGAUAGUGAACUUGACUCUUCUACUACUGCCCUCAAUGAGCGAAUAGAGGCCUACCCUCGUCUCGAUGUGAAUUUGCUGACAUGACCCACAGUUAUGACAAGUUGAUAGCCAAGUGCAACGCUUAUCGAGAAGCUGCCAAGGAAUCCAAGUCUGAAGCUGUUGUUGACGCUUACAAGUUGGAUUACCUGGAUUGCAAGAGUGGAGUCGCUCCUUGUCAUUCUAUUAAAGAUGAAGAUGUCGAGCUAUUUUGCCCGAAGAUGCCCUUUGCUCAAGAUGAACUGAUUAAUACUAUGGAUAUGGAGGCAGUGAAAGAGCAAGCAGCUGAGGAGAAUGAAGCCAAAGAGGGCGCAAUUGAUGAGGUAGAGGCUAAUGCUAUGGAGCAGGUAGCCACGGCUGAUGAGCAGGUGGCUACAAUUGGUGAGCAGAAGACUGUAACUAAUGAGCAGUGACUGCAACAGAUGAGCAGGUGACUGAGUCGAAUGGGACCACUGAGGACAUAGCUGAUUAGGUAGGAGCUGAGGAGGUUGCUGGCCAAGAGUCACCUACUGGAGACUUGCAGUACAUGAAGACUGUUUAUAUUUUUCUUUGUUGCUUUAUUUUUCUUUAAGUAUUAGUCUCUGUUGACCAUCCCUGUUUUGUUGAACUAGGGCCGGUUAGCUGCCUUACUAUGAAAAUUUCAGUUUACUUUAUAACUAAAAUUUGUGUGGACUGCUUUUGUGGAUAACUGUGUAAGUUGUAUCUUGGAUGGACCAGUUGGCUGCUUAGUUGGGCAACUGGGGAGUCGCCUCUAGGGUGGACCUUUUGUCCGCUUGGUUGGACAACUAUUUGAGUCGCCUCUUGUUAAAUGAAUAUUCAAGGUUUUAGAACUGCCGACACCUAAGUUAGUAUAUGGUCUUAGGGAGAUGUAAAUCAUAUUGAAAAGGUGGAGCUUCCUGUGCGUUAGUCGGCGGAUAGUCUUAAGAAGAUUUAGAUCAUGGGGAAAUGAUGGGGGGUUUUGUUCAGGUACUGAAGAACCUUUCGAAUUCAUUGUCUUUUUGGCUAAGUUAACUGGUUAACUGGUUAAUCAGUUGUCGAGUUAGUUAUCAUGUGCUCGGGGGUUGAACAUCUCCCAGAGGAUGGUAAGAUGUUUACCUACCCUUACGAAAAGAGUGCCUUCCUCUAGCAAAUGUGAAAUGUUUACCCAUCCUUACAGAAAUGGUGCCUUCCUCUGGUGAGGGUGACUAUUUCUCGAACACUUCGUUGAAUGAAAAAUUCGAACUUGUAUAAAUAUUUGUGUGAUUACAUUGCUUUAUUGAAUGGAAAUAACUGAAUGAGCAACUCGAAAAUAUCAAAAGUAGCUUUUUCUUUAAUUGAAGUGGAAAGGGCUCAAUCGCCUGCUGGGAACCAAGCUGGUAAGCGGAAGUUUCAUGCAUAGUACCUUCAGAGGUGAUAGGCAUUCUAUUGUCUCGUAACUUCUUUCCUUUCCAAUGUCUUAAGUGCAUAGCUUUCUCUGCCCCCAAGUCGGUUGACCACAUAAAGGCCUUCCCAACUAGGCUUCAUUUUUUUUGAUCCUUGCCAUUGUGCUAUGAUAAAGGAUUUUCUAAGCACAAGGUCCCCAGGUUGGAAUUGUUUAAUCUUGGCUCUCUUGUUGUAUAGUAAGACAUUAAUUACUGCUGAUAAUCUGCAACUCGAACAAUGGCUUUUUCUCCUUCCCCUUCGAGCAGGUCGAGGUUAAGCUUCAUUUGCUCACAGUUUUGGUCUAUGAUGCCUACCUCGACGCUCAUAGAUAGAACGGUGAUAUGAGGAGGAAUGAUUGCUUCAAUUUCAUAAGCCAAGGAAAAUGGGGUUUCACCGGUAGAUCUCCUUUUGGUAGUGUGAUAACCGCAUAGGACUUCGGGCAGCUCAUUGACCCACUUUUUCUCAGGGCCUUCCAAUCUUUUCUUUAGGCAUUCCAGCAUGAUCUUGUUGGAUGUUUCUGCCUGGCCAUUGCCUUGCGUGUAUCUCGGAGUUGAUAAGGGUCGUUUGAUGCCAUACUUUGCAAAGAAUGCGGUGAUCUGCUACUGUUGCGUCUACCCAAGUGCAAGUAGUCACACGUGGUAAUAAUCUUGGAAGUCCAAGUAUCGUAUCCUCAAGGAGCAGGUGGACAAAUAUCUGCACACAAAGAAAUAAUUAAAUGUAUCACAAUAAAAGCGACAAGCAAAAUGAAAAAAUAAUUUGAUUUGAUUGUUGUGGAAAUUGAGUUUAAAAAUAAAAUAACAACAAUGGAAAUGCUAAGGCAUCAAGGUUCAAUUCUUUAAGCAAAAUAUGUUUCAUGCUCUUUAAUCCAAAUUAUAACUCGAUUAAAAUUAUGAUUGAGAAACUUUAAGCGGAAGAUAAAGAAAUUAAAACCAAUUUAAUUUUUCAAUGUUAUCUUUUAUGAAUGAUUGUUCAGAGAAUGGAAUUGCUUAAUAUCUACUUUUUUAAUUUAAAAGCAUGCUAAGUCAGCUCUUAACAAUGAGAAAAAUAUAAUUGAACUCAUGAAAAGAUAAUAGCACUUAACAUCAAUUAAAAUAAAAGGAUAUGAAAAUGUUGAACAACCAAAAAUAAAAGAAUUUAGCAAUUCAUACUGUAUAUUGGAUUAAAGAAAAAUUCACAAACUUACUCAAUGAACAUUCCCUUUAGCCUUAGCUAGAGUUCUAGCAACUCAUUAGAAAGAAAAACAUAAACUAAAUUUUGAAUGAAAUGGAUAAAGAAAUCUGUCGUAGUGGUGUCCUGGCCAAAUAAGUUGAUGGGUGAUUUAUAGUAGUCAAUGAGGUGAGUGAGAAGUUAAUACUCGUGGUGGGUAAUGAAAGGUUUAAGUGAGAGAUUAAUUGGAUUAUACAUGUGUUGAUGGCAGAGAGUUAGUAGAAAAGAAAUAACGGUGAGGUAAAUGGGCGUUAAAUGGCUAUGAAUGACAUGAAAUAGGCUCUUUAGCUUCAACGGUUUUGUCUUCUCUUCUCCCUCUUUACUUCUCUUUAUAAUCACAAUAAUCCCACAAUCAAUUCUUCAAUAAAAUCCGCCAGCAAUUCUAUUCACACCUAGCUUGAACUUGGACAAAUAUAUGUCUUCAUCUUUUGGCUUUCCAACUUCCUGCAGAAGAUAAAUUCACCUAAUUAGUUCACCAAGUUAAUAUAGAAAAUUCAUAAAUCCAGUUGGUGAGAAUAAAAUGCAACACCAAGUGAAAUUAUAUUUAUUAAGCCAAAAUUAUAUCAUAAAGUCUCCAAAAUAAUAUAAAAAAGAUGUAAUUUGAGACUCUCAUCACAAUCCCCAACCAACUUAUUGCUAGUCCCUAGCAAUUCAAGCGACUAAAAGAAACUCAAAUUUAAGUAGAAAUGACAACAACAACAACAACAAACCAAAAAAAAAAAAAUUACUAAAACAGCUAAGCCACUUUCGCGGGAUACGAUUGCAUUUAGCAUAUGCAACAAGCCUUUAAACCCUUAGGUUACCCAUAAAGGACGAGUUAUAGUCUCGUGAGGGUUUCCAGGGAUGAUACCCACAAACAUCAAGUAUGAGGCUAGCACAAUUAUUCAGAAACAUGAAAUAAAAUAAAAUUUGAAAAAUAAUUUCAACAUCUGUCACCAACAAAAAGGACAGAGCACAAAGUCCAAAUUUUCAAUUCAUGAACAAUGUUAAAAGAGAGAACACUUAUUUAACAUUUCAAGUUAAUCUCACCUCGAAGUCCAAAUCAUUUAUAAUUAGCCAGUAAACUUUUCACAUGUUUCCUUUGGUGUAAAGUGAACCAACACAAUUGAGUGGCAUUAGCUAAAUUCCAAUCAUACCAACCUUUUGAUCUCAAGAGUUGUCAAGCUCCCUUGCAAGAAACAAACCAAUGUUUUUAUUUUUUUUAAUAUACUAUUUUUUCCUUUAUGUGGGCUGUGCAAUGCUUAGCUCCAUUAAGCUUUCUAAUUAACCCAUAUAGCGAGUGUUAGGCUAGUGACUCUCAAACCAAAAAGGCUUUAAGGCAUUAGGUGUAGAGACACCUCUAAGAGCUUACUAACUCGAGUUAAAAAGGCUACGAAAUUAAAGUAGUCACACAAAAUUAUUCACACCCAGAACUUCACCGUUUGACGCGAACACUCACUGCUGAUUAGGCAAGAGGCCCGGUUACUAAGUAGAAGCUUGAAUAGAAUACUAUUAUCUCAUGAACCUUUUUUUUUUUAAACCAAGAUGAGUCAAAAGCAAGGUCGUCCAAGUUUACCAAAGACAAAAGAUUAACCACAAUUGGUUUUUAACUUUAUACUCCACAAAAAGUGUUAGUGUGCUUGUGUAAAUUGUUAGAGUAUAACUCAUGAAUCAUCCACUAACUAGAAAUAAAUGAAAAAGACACAUAAGUGGGAUAAUUAUCAUAUCUUUUACAUGUUCCCAAUCUUAAAAUCAUUCAUGAAUAUCAAAUAAAUCAAUCUUGUCACAGACAGACUAUGAAAAACAAACAACACAGUGCAUUAACCUCAUAAACAAUUUUUUCCUUCACACUUUUCAGAAAUUUUUUUUUUCAAAAUAAAUGAUGAAAAUAAACAAAAUAAACAAAAAAAAUACAAAAACAAAACCAAACCAAUAAAACAAAAAUAAAACAAAAACGAAAGGAAAACUAACAUGUUGCAACAAGAAAAUAAUACAAUAAACACAUCUUCUCCACCCCCAACCAAAGACUAACAUUGUCCUCAAUGUUUAAACAUAUAAGCAUAAUAAAAAGAAGAGGGUAGCGUUACCUGAGAAUUGACAUCCAAAGUGAAAGCCUGCAACGUGUUACUGGAAAAACAAAACAAACAAAAACAACAAAAAUGUAGAAUUUUUUUAUUUUUAUUUUUUCAAGUGAACAAAAAUUUCUAAACUAAUUAUAUACAACAGAUGGACUAAGGGAAGUCCAAUCAAUCCUGGUAAACAGGUUCGUUCAAAGAAACUGUCUCAUCUUCUGGAACACAUCUCCCCAAGUAAGGUUUAAGUCGUUGGCCAUUAACCUUAAAAAUAUUUUCAUUCUUGGGAUCCUCAACCUCAACAGUCCCAUAUGGGAAAACUCUUUUAACAAUGAAAGGCCCUGUCCAUUUAGUUCUUAAUUUUCCAGGAAACAAAUGAAGUCUAGAAUUAUAUAAAAGAACAAGUUGAGAAGGCUCAAAAUUUUUCCUCAAAAUAUUUUUAUCAUGAAAAACUUUAGUACGUUCUUCGUAAAUUCGUGAGUUCUCAUAUGCAUCAUUCCUGACUUCCUCAAGUUCAUUCAAUUGGAGUUUUCUCAAGGUACUUGCAUCUCCAAGACUAAAGUUAAACAAUUUGAUAGCCCAAUAUGCUUUAUGUUCUAAUUCAACAGGUAAAUGACAAGGUUUACCAUAAACUAGCCUAUAUGGGGACAUACCAAGAGGUGAUUUAUAUGCAGUAUGGUAUGCCCACAAAGCAUCAGUUAGUCUCAAUGACCAAUCCUUCCGGGUUGGAUUCACCGUCUUUUCCAAGUUCGGCUAGGCCAUUUGUCUGUGGAUGGUAUGGAGUGGAAAUCUUAUGGGUUAUCCCAUAUUUUUUCAUCAAAGCUUCAAAUGGUCGGUUGCAAAAAUGUGAUCCUCCAUCACUGAUGAUCGCUCUAGGAGUACCAAACAUGGACAAUACAUUUUCUUUCAAAAAUUUCGAAAUAGUUUUAUGAUCAUUCUUCCGACAUGGUAUGGCCUCAAUCCAUUUUGAAACAUAAUCUACAGCAACAAGGAUAUAUAAGUAACCAAAAGAUGGAGGAAAAUGACCCAUAAAAUCAAUGCCCCAACAGUCAAAAUUUUCAAUAAUUAAAAUUGGGUUAAGAGGCAUCAUAUUAUGUCGAGUAAUUUUUCUCAACUUUUGACAACUUGGACAAGUCUUGCAAAAUUCAUACACAUCUUUGAAAAGUCUAGGCCAAUAAAAACCACAUUGAAGAAUUUUGGCUGAAGUCUUUUUGGAAGAAAAGUGACCUCCACAAGCCUCAGAAUGACAAAAAGAUAUGACACUAAAUAUUUCAUCAUCAAGAACACACCUUCAGAUUAUUUGGUCGGGACAAUAUUUGAAGAGAUACGGGUCAUCCCAAAAAAAUUUUCUCACCUCAACCAUAGAUUUCUUUUUCUCUUGCGAGGUCCAAUGAGGUGGGAUAAGACUUGUAGCAAGAAAAUUCACAAUGUUAGCAAACCACGGUAAUUUAGAAAUACCAAACAAUUGUUCAUCAGGAAAUAAAUCUUUUAUAGGCAAAUAUUCAGAAGGCUCCUCAAAAGAUAUCCUAGAAAGAUGGUCUGCAACAACAUUCUCCACUCCUUUCUUGUCCUUGAUUGUAAGAUCAAAUUCUUGGAUCCAUCUAAUCAAUCGUGAUUUGGCUUCCUUCUUUGUCAAUAAAUACUUCAAGGUCAAAUGAUCUGUAAAAACAACAAUUUGUGAGCCCAAAAUAUACGACCUAAACUUUUCCAGUGCAAAACUGCAGCAAGCAAUUAUUUUUCAGUUGUAGUGUAAUUUUUCUAUGCACUAUUCAAAGUUCUGCUUGCGUAGCAGAUAACAAUAGGCUUCUUGUCUUUUCUUUGGCCUAGCACUGCCCCAAUAGCACCAUCACUAGCAUCAAAUAUUAUUUCAAAUGGCAUGGACCAAUCUGGGGGCUGUAUUACAGGAGUUGAUGUUAGCAUUUUAAUCAAUUUCUCAAAUGCUUCUUGACAUGCAUAAUUCCAAUCAAAUUUAGCAUCUUUCUCCAUGAGAUUAUUUAAUGGCUUUGCAAUUGCACUAAAAAUUUGUAUGAAUCUCCGAUAGAAACCUGCAUGUCCUAAAAAAAGAUCUGAUAUCUUUAACAGUUUUAGGAAUAGGCAUAUUAGCAAUUAAAUCAAUUUUUGACUUAUCCACUUCAAUUCUUUUGUGAGAAACAAUGUGUCCAAGUACUAUGCCAGAUGUGACCAUGAAUUGGCAUUUCUCCCAGUUAAGCACCAAAUUUUUCUCUUUACACCUGAUAAGAACAUUCUCCAAGUUAGAUAAACAAUCAGAAAAUAAAUCACCAAACAUAGUAAUAUCAUCCAUGAAAACUUCUAAAUAUUUUUCUACCAUGUCACUAAAUAUGCUUAUCAUGCAACGUUGGAAUGUAGCUGGUGCAUUGCAAAGACCAAAAGGCAUUUUUCUAAAAGCGAAAGUUCCAAAUGGGCAAGUAAAAGUUGUUUUUUCUUGAUCUUCUAAUGAAAUCUCAAUUUGAUAAUAUCCUGAAUACCCAUCGAAAAAACAAUAAUACAUAUGCCCUGCAACUCUUUCCAAAAUUUGGUCAAGAAAUGGUGAAGGAAAAUGAUCAUUUCUUGUGACUGAGUUCAAUUUACGAUAAUCAAUACACAUUCUCCAUCCAGUAGUGGCCCUAGUUGGUACCAUUUCUCCAUUAUCAUUUUCAACUACUGUGACUCCUGAUUUUUUAGGAACAACCUGUGUAAGACUCACCCAUUUGCUAUCAGAAAUUGGAUAUAAGAUACAUGCAUCCCAAAGUUUAAGUACUUCUUUUUGCACAAUUCUUUCAUUGUUGGGUUAAGUCUACGUUGAGCCUGCCUAACUGGUUUAGCAUCUUCUUCAAGAAAAAUUUGGUGUGUGCAAACCAAAGGACUAAUACCUUUAAUAUCAGAUAUAGUCCAUCCAAUAGCAGUCCUAUGAUCUUUCAAAACUUUAAGUAACAUACCUUCAUGCAAAAGCUCUAGUUUAGAAGAUAUUACCACAAAAUAUGUCUCAUCUUCUCCCAGAAAAGCAUAUUUAAGUCCACCAGGAAGAGGCUUCAGUUCACACUCUGGGGCUUCUUCUCUUGAUGAUUUUGUCUCAUCACUCACAGUUGGCAGCUCCUCGUAUUUUGGUACCCAACCAUUAUGUUCUUGUACCUGCGCAGAAUCCAACAAAGAACAAAGAUAUUGUACUUCAAAAUCUUGUGCAAAAUUACAAUCCCCAUUUACUAAAAAAAUUUGCAAUGGAUCAGAAGAAAAAGAAGAAUUAAAGCAAUUUUGAACAAUUGUCUCGAUCAUGUAAACUUCUUUGUCGACAUCUUCAUUGUUUGUGGGUUGCUUGCAUAUGUUGAAUAUGUUGAGCUCCAAUGUCAUGCUUCCAAAUGAUAGUUGCAUAAGUCCAUUCCUGCAAUUUAUAUGAGCAUUAGAUGUAGCAAGAAAUGGUCUUCCAAGAAUAAUAGAAAUUUGAGAAUUAGAAUGCACAACUGGUUCGGUAUCCAAAACUAUAAAAUCAACUGGUUUGUCUACCUGAACCAGCACAUCUUCCACCAUACCUCUUGGGAUUUUGACUGAAUGGCUAGCCAAUUGCAAUGUUAUUGAGGUGAGUUUUAAUUCACCAAGACCCAAUUGCUUAUAAACCGAGUAAGGCAACAAAUUAACACUAGCACCCAAAUUCAAUAAAGCUUGUUCAAUAAUAAAAUUUCCAAUAAUACAAGAAAUUGUGGGACAACCUAGAUCUUUGUACUUGGGUGGAGUAUUAGUUUGAAGAAUUGCACUUACAUUUUCAGUUAAAAAUGCAGUCUUAUCAAUAUUGUGCUUUCUUUUUAUAGUGCAUAAAUCCUUUAAAAAUUUUGAAUAUGAAGGAAUUUGUUUUAUAGCAUCCAGAAGAGGUAUAUUGAUUUUCACUUGUUUAAAAACCUCCAAAAUUUCAGGAUUUUGAUUUUUCUUUACAGCCCUAAGUGCUUGUGGAAAUGGAGCAGGAAAAGGGCACUUAACAAUUUCAGAAUCAUUAUUUUCUUUUUCAUUAUUUUUGGAUUUUUAUGAAUUCCUUUUAUUUUCAACUAUUACUAAAUCAUCUUUCCCAAUUAUUUUUCCACUACAAAGAGUAGUGACAGCCUUCACAUAUUCAUGCUUAUUUUCAUUCAAAGAAGAAGAAGAAGGGGUAGUUACCUCUAACUGUGCAUGUGGAUUAGGUUGGACUUGAGAAGGAAAUUUACCCUUUUCUUGAAUUGACAGCGAAGAAGUGAGUUUGGAAAGAGUGCUCUUAAUCUCACCAAUGUCUUGUGCAUUCUUUUGAUUUGUGACAGUUUGGCUUUGUAUGAAUUGCUUCAUAACAUCUUCCAAAUUUGAUGACGAUGAUUGUCCUUCCACCUAUGGAGAAUAAUAAAAAGAAUUAGAUUUUUGUUGAGGCACAUUAUUAUUAGUAUUAUUUCUCCAACUGAAAUUUGGGUGGUUUCUCCAUCCUGGACUAUAAGUUUCAGCAAAAGUGGAUGAUUUUUUAAAUUGAUUCACAAAGUUUGCUUGAUCGUGCAACAUUUCUCUGAAAGCUGAAAGUGUUGGACACUCUUUUGUUACAUGUCCCAUGACCUCGUAAACUUCACAAAUCUCAAAAAUUUCUUGACUUGCAAUUAAAUUAACUUUUUAAGGCAAUUUUGAUUUUAGAGUUUCAACUUCCCUAGCCAUUGUUGCCAAUUGAGCUGUGAGACUAUCUUCCUCCUUAAGGUGAUAAGUACUGCCGCUAGAAGGAUUAAUAGAAGAUUUUGGCUUUUAGUUAUUAGGUUCAAAUGUGUUGGGAGUGCUCCAAAUGUGAGAUUUCUCUGCAAUUUCAUCAAGAAAAUCAAAAGCAUCUUCAGGAUCUUUAUACAUAAAAUUUUCAUUACACAUCAUCUUAAUAAAUUGUCGAUCUUUAGGUGUUAAGCCAUCAUAAAAAUGACUUACCAUCCUCCAUCUUUCAAAACCAUGGUGAGGACAUAACAUUAACAAAUCUUUAAAUCUUUUCCAAGCUUGAGGUAAAGACUCAGUAUCUUUUUGAGGAAACGUGGUCAUCUGUCUUUUCAAAGAAUUUGUCUUUUGAAUUGAGAAAAAUUUCUUGAAAAUUUUAGUUUGCAUUUCAAGCCAUGUUCCAAUUGUUCUUGGCCUUAGAGAAUAAAGCCAAGUCUUCGCUUUAUCUUUAAGUGAAAAUGGAAACAGUUGUAGCAAAACUGUAUCAAGCCUACACCCUUGUGUGGGAAAAGUUCCACAAACUCCCUCAAACCCACACACAUGUGAAUAUGGAUUUUCAUAUUUCACUCCAUGAAAAGUUGGUAAAAGUUGUAUCAUGCCCGGUUUAAAAUCAAAAGUUUAACCGUUUAACAGAAAAAUGAUGCAAUAUGGCACACUUGUACGAGCAUGAUGCAAAUAAUCAUGUAAUGUCCUAACAAGUGGAUUCUCAUCAUUAUGAACACUAUGAUUAUCUUCAUCAUUUUGGGGGCCUUCCAAAAUGCAUUAUUAUUGUUAUUAUUGUUAUUAUUAUUAUUAUUCUCAGUCAUUUGUGAUGAAAUUUGGUCAAAUUGAGGUUUCUUUGCAAAUCUACCAAACCGAUCACGAUAUCUUAUAAACAAAAUAAAGAAGCAACAAAUAAAUAAAUAAACUAAACUAAUUUUUUUUAAUUUUUGUUAAUAAAAAAAACUAAGACAAAAGCAAACAAAAAAAACACCAAAAAUAAAAAUAGAAAUGAAAAAUUUAGUUUGAUAAGCCUUACCUAAUUAGCUUUGGAAACUAAAACCGCGAACCUUAACAAUAAAUUUCUUUGUGCUACUUUUCGCUUCACCACUCCCCGGCAACGGCGCCAAAAACUUGUUGCGUCUACCCAAGUGCAAGUAGUCACACGUAGUAAUAAUCUUGGAAGUCCAAGUAUCGUAUCAUCAAGGAGCAGGUAGGCAAAUAUCUGCACACAAAGAAAUAAUUAAAUGUACCACAAUAAAAGUGACAAGAAAAAUGGGAAAGUAAUUUGAUUUGAUUAUUGUGGAAAUUGAGUUUAAAAAUGAAAUAUCAAUAAUGAAAAUGCUAAGGCAUCAAGGUUCAAUUAUUUAAGCAAAAUAUGUUUCAUGCUCUUUAAUCCAAAUUAUAACUCGAUUAAAAUUAUCAUUAAGAAACUUUAACCGGAAGAUAAAGAAAUUAAAACCAAUUUAAUUUUUCAAUGUUAUCUUUUAUUAAUGAUUGUUUAGAAAAUGGAAUUGCUUAAUAUCUACUCUUUUAAUUUGAAAGCAUGCUAAGUCAGUUCUUAACAAUGAGAAAAAUAUAAUUGAACUCAUGAAAAGAUAAUAGCACUUAACAUCAAUCAAAAUAAAAGGAUAUGAAGACAUUGAACAACCAAAAAUAAAAGAAUUUAGCAAUUUAUACCGUAUAUUGGAUUAAAGAACAAUUCACAAACUUACUCAAAGAACAUUCCCUUUAACCUUAGCUAGAGUUCUAGCAACUCAUUUCAAAGGAAAACAUAAACUAAAUUUUGAAUGAAAUGGAUAAAGAAAUAUGUCGUAGUGGUGCCCUUGCCAAAUAAGUUGAUGGGUGAUUUAUAGUAGUCAAUGAGGUGAGUGGGAAGUUAAUACAUUCGUGGGUAAUGAAGGGUUUAAGUGAGGGAUUAAUUGGAUUAAAGAUGUGUUGAUGGCGGAGAGUUAGUGGAAAAGAAAUAAUGGUGAGGUAAGUGGGUGUUAAAUGGCUAUGAAUGACAUGAAAUAGGAUCUUUAGCUUCAACGGUUUUGUCUUCUCUUCUCCCUCUUUACUUCUCUUUAUAAUCACAAUAAUCUCACAAUCAAUUCUUCAAUAAAAUCCGCCAGCAAUUCUCUUCACACCUAGCUUGAACUUGGACAAAUGUAUGUCUUCAUCUUUUGGCUUUUCAACUUCCUACAGAAGAUAAAUUCACCUAAUAAGUUCACCAAAUUAAUAUAGAAAAUUCAUAAAUCCAGUUGGUGAAAAUAAAAUGUAACAACAAGUGAAAUUAUAUUUAUUAAGCCAAAAUUAUAUCGUAUACUACCCGAUGAAUUGUGAUACGUUGUGAGUGACCAAUGACUAUAGACAGCCGAACGGGCAUAUGAUGUUUCUCCAGAUAAAUUGUUCCACUUCAGCUUCUUUAGCAGAGGAUAUAGCUUCGACCUCAAUCCAUUUUAUAAAAUACUUGUGGCCACGAUCAUCAUCUCAUUCUUGGCAGGAGCCAAUGGCAUAAGACUCACUAAGUUGAUGACCCAUUGCAUAAAUGGUCAUGGGUUGUUCUGCGGAUAGUACACUUCAGCAGAUAGACUUGGGACUAUCUUGUAGCAUUGGUAUCGAUCACAUCUUUUGACAUACUCCGUAGAGUCGUGGCGCAUGGCCGGAUUGUAAUGACGAGAGGUUGCGGCCUUGCUUUGGGUUUGAAGCCCAAUCCCGGCUAUGAAGAUGUAAAGGUGUUCCAUGGCUCCAUCCGCAAGGUCGUGUGGUGGAAUUGAUGUUUCGGCCAUAAGGGCGUGAGGUAGGUAGGUGCUCCCAAUUGUGGGGCUGUUAGGCAAAGAUGAGGUCUUGGUCAUGGGGCCGUGACGGGGAGGAUUUGUGCUCAUAGCCAGGGGGCCAUGAGGUGGAGCCGUAGUCUUAACCAUGGGGUUGUGAGACAUAUAGAUUGAGUCGUUGUGACGACCGUGCUUCUCGUACAUAUGCUUCUGGUCAUGGUUACUCGAAAGGCCUUGAAUGAAAAGUGGAUGGCAAGAAUCAGAUUUCUUAGAUUUGAGAGUAACGCGUUGAAUAUAACUCGAUACUCUCAAUGAAAGCACCAAUUUGUUUGUGCGAAUAAUCUCAUGGGAGAAUAUUCACUAGAGAUUCCUCCACCUUUUGAGCUUCCAUCUUCUUCUUCUUCUUCCUCGCUCCCUGUAAAAUAGAUUGGAGUCAACAGACCACUCCCGAGGGGUGUUGGCGAAAGGCCCUCUGAUGCCUAUGUUAGUUAAAUGAUCUUUGGGAAGAUACGAAAAUAACGAAACGGUAGGAGUUUUCUCUCACGGAGAGAGCCGGGUGGCCAGAGCCUUGGGGGACAGAGGAGAGAGAAUGGAUAAAUAAAAGAGAUUUAUUGGAAAUCAGACCCUUGAUUUAGGUAGAUAUUCCUAUCUUAAAUCAAAGAUAAUUCCCUAAUUAAAUAGGAUUUAAUUAGGGUAAUCAGUUGACCUAAGUAAUAUUCUUUUUUCCAUGUGUCACCCUCUUAUUGGUUGCCAAAAAUAUGUGUUCACACUGAGGUCUAGCCUAGUGAAAAAUAGUAUUGACUUGUAGAUCAGUGAUUCCAGAUUCGAACUCCUAUGACACUUUAAUAGUGUACGAGAAACCCCAAUUUCCCUUUUAUAGUUUAGCUUGUAUUCAAUUACCAUUGUUUUUGCAAUUUUUUCAAAAUGGACAUCAAAUUGACUAUUUUGGAUCAUUUUGUCAAAAAAGGCACCAAAAUGCCCCAAUUUUGGAUCAUUUUGUCAAAACAAGCACCAAAUCGCUUCCUAAACUAUAGCUUAUUUUUGGGCAAUAGGUAUAAUUGUUGCCAAAAAUAGUGGUAUUUUUUAAUACAAAUGAUAGUCUAAACUACAAAGGGGAUGGAGGCUUUUCUUAGACACACACACCAUAAGGGUUCAAAUUCGAGACUACUUAUAUGCAAGUCAAUGCCAUUUUCCACUAAACAAGACCCUGUUGACAGAACAAUAAUAUUAUAACUACAUAAGAUGUUCAGCCAAAAUAAUUAUAUUAUUUCGAAUUUAAAAAAAGAAUUCAAAAUUUUAAACAAAGGUUAUCUAAAAACUAGUAUGCUCAACAAGAGCUCAAGAGCAGCAUGGUUCAAGUCAAAGAUCUAAAGUCAUGUCCACAAGCCCAAUCCAUUUUAUAUUAUACAAUUAGAAAACUAUCAAUGUGAGACUAGUUUUGUAUUUGUUUAUCCCAAAUCUCCUACAUCAAAAAUAGGUCAGACAUUGUGUUAUUUUAAAAGUGUGUCACAAUUAGCAAGGCAAAUCCUAAUAGACUUGAGUAAAAUUGAUUAACUUAUGUGCUAAGAAACCUAACUUCUAACUAAACAAUUUCGCAUUGAAUAAGGAAUGGAUUCAAUAUGAAUUCUUUUCUAUGCCUCCAGAUGAAUAAGAACUUUAUUAUUUCUUUAUUAUAAAACUAGGAAUAUGAAAUAAUUUAUGGAAUUUCCAAGCUGUUAACAACGGGUUUUGGGGCUCAGGCCCAAUGACAUAGUCAAUCGACAUGAGUCGUUCUAUAAGGGGAAGUCCACCGCAUGUGAAUUGCAGCUCCAGUGCACCAAUGAGGGGGCACAAUGACCAAAUUGCAGCUCCAGCGCACCAAGUCUAGCUCGGGCAAAGGUUGGGUCCCACGAGCCCAGGCAAGCCCAUAGGUAAAUUGUACCUGAGCUGCUGCAUGGGCAAAAUGACAUAAUGCUGAUGUCAUAAUAACGCCAGCAACAACAAAAAAAUGAAAAAAAUACCAAAAAUUUCAGAAUUUUUUAUUAUUUUAUAAAUACCUAGCCAUAUUCUUUACUUCCCAAACCAAAAACUCUAUACAAAUUCAUCUCCUCAUAUCUCAUUUGAAUAGUAAUUGAUUUUAUCCUUGGCCUUUGGGAUGGAAACAAAAAAGGUAAGGGCUACCACUAUUCAUGUGAAUAGUGACAAACAUUGCUUUGCUUUUGCCUUGCCCUUACCUUGUGGGGUGGAGGUGCUCUAAUGAGGGCCUUAAAUAAGACCCUCAUUACAGAAUUCUACCAGUCGACAGAGUCUGUAAAAUGGGGUACCCACUUUCUCAGUUCUCUACAUGUACCCAAAAAAAAAACAAAAACAAAAACAAAAGUUUUUCUAUUUAAAUCUCGCACUUCUCUUUGUUCACCUUAUAUUCUAAGUUCACUCUAACUUCUAAUUCAAAUUUUUACAAUUUCUAAGAAAACCUCACUAUCUUCCUAAACUACCCCUAAAUACACACCCAACAGGAAAAAAAUAAAAAACUCAUCAACCUCACACCCCACACCCCGCUAUCUUGCUCCUUACCAAUCUAAAUUCACCUCAACCUUACAUUACUUAAAGAGAUAAAACAUUCCAAUAAAAGGCUAAACCCAAAUAUUCUAAUGAAAAUUUUAUUUGACAUGGCCCCGCUUCUCUCCUAAUGCAUAACAUCAUGUCUUUAAUAUUUUAUUGUAAAAAAGGAUUUUAUCAAUGACAUUGGGAAACAUUGUAACAUUAGAUUCAGCAAAUUGUUUUUGUAGGAAACAUUAUCUCUCCGUAUUCUCCGCCACAGUCGCAUUCCCAUAUCUACAUUACCAAAGGCACCAAAACAAACCAAUCAACUUGGCAUAGAAGAAAACAAUAAAACUCACAUACUCCCAAUCAAUCAAACUAAAACUGAAAAGAACCCAUUAAUUAAAAGUUCAAAUCAAAACCAACAUGUCUUUCUCAUGAAUAUGAAGAGUUCUGGAGUGUAUAGUAUAGAUGUGUUAGGGUUAAGUAUUAAGUUAGAUAACCUUUUUUAUUUUGUUACACAAUAAUAAAACUUAAGAGCUUAAUUAUUUAAGUAUUAGAAUAAACAAAAAAGAAUGUGGGGUUUUAAAUAGAAAAACUCAAAAAAAACAAAAUCCAUAAUAAAAUACAUAUUAAAAGACUAUGAGUAGAUCACUAAUGGGCAUUACGACAAUUAUCUAUCAUCUACAUUAUUGGACUCUCACCUCACCUCCAUCCCAAAUUGCCGAUAUCAUAUAUAUAUAUAUAUAUCUCUCUCUCUCUCUCUCUCUCUCUCUCUCUCUCUCUCGCUAUCUCCAUGGCUGCAACAGAUCCAAAGUUCAAUAUCCACUACUCUUCACAAGUUCCCCAUGAUCAGCCAGCCAAACUGAUGACCAGCAUAAAAAAGCUUGUAGAAUCACCAGGCAUCACCUUCAUCCCUCCCACUUAUACCUACACAAACAAUCCCCAUGAUGACCUGGCAGCUUUGAUAGAUACAGAGUCAACGAUCCCCACCGUUGACUUUUCUCUCCUCACAUCUGGCACUCCCGAACAGCGCUCCCAAGCCAUCCAUGACCUUGGCAAAGCCUGCCAGGACUGGGGCUUCUUCUUGGUACUAUUUUAAUUACAGAUGGGAAUUAAAUUGUUGAAUUAAAUUUUAAUUUCUUUUUUUCCACGUGUCAAUGACAUAGGUGAUCAAUCAUGGUGUGCCAGAGAGUCUGAUGAAGGCGAUCUUGGAAGGGGUACAAGGGUUUUUUGAUCUGACGGAGGAGGAGAAGCACGAGUUUGAGGGGAAGCAUGUACUGGAUCCAAUCAGGUGUGGGACCAGCUUCAAUGCCUCGGUGGAGAAGGUGAUGUUUUGGAGGGAUUUUCUCAAGGUUUUUGUAUAUCCUGAGUUCCACUUCCCCACUAAACCUGCUGGCUUCAGGUAUAAUGUUUUGUUUUUUUCAUACAAGUGAUAUUUAAAGAGGAGAAUCGAAUCUAGAAUAUUGGAAUUUAUUUUUAUUAGUUAAAUCAGAGACAAAAAUCACUUGCUUUACCUUAUAAUUGAAAGGAGUAUUUUUGCUCACCACUUUAAUUCAAGGUGUAUGCUUACAAUUCUUCUCAAUACUUAAUAGGAGUCCAUAAGUAUAAUCGUGAUUACAUAAAUCAGAGUAAAAAGUUGUUAUUGUUAGGACAAGUUUCGUAAAAUGUUUUCGUUUUUAAUUAAAGACAAAGAGAAGGUAUAGGAAAGAUACUGCAUGCUAGGCUGAACACAUGAUGUGUGAGAAGCAAUAAUCCAAAACAAAGUCGAAAAACCACUUCCAAAACCUCUGAAGGAGUGCGAUUAAGUACCACCAUUUAAAACAAAAAUUCUAGCAGCCAUCCUCGUAGGCAAAUAAGUUCGAAUUAUCCCCGGUCGAUGUACCGCAAACAUGAUUAUACACUUCUGACAUGUUUACUUACCUGAAAUAGAUAUGAGAAAAAAUGUGAAAUAUUAUAAUUCAUGACUUCCCCUACAUAUACGAACAUAUAUAAAACCAAAAAAGUAUGUUAACUUCACAUUAAAUAUUUAAAAGAAAGUACCUGUGAUGAUGAAUUUAGUGAAACGGGUUUACCUUUUGUUUGCUUUAGUGAACUUGCAUUAGAGUAUUGCAAAAGAACGCGACAAGUGACAAGAGAACUCCUGAAAGGAAUAUCAGAGAGCUUGGGAUUGGAAGCCAGCGACUUAGAGAAGUUCUUGAAUGUUGAGUCAGGCUUGCAGAUCUUCAUUGCAAACCUUUAUCCUCCAUGUCCACAGCCAGAGCUUGCCUUGGGAAUGCCACCUCAUUCUGAUCAUGGCCUCUUGACCCUCCUUAUACAAAAUGGCAUUAAUGGUCUUCAAGUGCAACACAAGGGUAAAUGGGUCAAUGUCAAUGCCAUGCCCAACUCCUUCCUUGUUAACACUGGUGAUCACCUGGAGGUAAAGUUUCUCUCACAAAUUCUUCCUUUCAUUGACUAAACAUUUGUUGCAUUUAUUGCUCCAAAUUUAGGGACUUGGAUGACAAUAUAAGGUUAAACGGGUUUUGGGACAAUCACAAUUUGCAUAUGGCGAGAUCAAGUCAUUUUGGUCAUUUUAGUAAGUAAAAUGGUACUAGCAAGUCGUUUGAGAACACUUCACAAUGUCAUCUCAUGAUCUAAAUUGUUUCGUUUUUUAAGUAACCUAAUUAACCUCCACGAUUACAGCUCACUUUUUUUCCUACAUAUUUUAGAUUUUUAGCAAUGGGAAGUACAGGAGCAAUAUUCAUCGAGCAGUGCUGACCAACAAAGCUACAAGAAUAUCCCUUGCCACUCCAACUGGUCCAUCUCUUGAAACAGUAGUUACGCCUGCACCCGAGCUCAUAAACAAUGAAAACCGAAAGCCAGCAUAUAUUGGGAUGAAGUAUAAAGAUUACUUGGAGCUUCAACAAAGCAGCAUGCUUGAUGGCAAAUCCAUCUUGGAUCGUGUACGGGUUUCGAACUCUGAAUAAAUUGGUGGCUGCUCUGUCUGGUGCUUCUACAAUUAUUGUGCUUAAUUAAUUAGUACAAUGCUCUAAUAAACCAAAGUUGUAAUAUCACCAGAACAAGUUUGUCAAAUGUAAGCAAUAUCCAAACUUGUAUGAUUAUAAACAUUUUUGAAAAUGCUCCUUAUCCCUCAAGCUUGUAUAAUGGGGUAUAAUGAUAACUAGAUCGAGAUUAAUUGUUGUAAGAGUGGAGCUCAUAAGGUGAAAUGCAAGAAUUGAUGGAAGGAGUGUUGAAUUGGUGCAGAACCUAUAGAGUGGGUACAACAACUUAAUGAAUAGUGUGGUUGGGACUUUCAUUAUUGUGGACUACAUGAGUCGAUAUGUUCGCUUAUAAGAGCAUUCACAGUUAAGAGGUGUAUUUUCAGAGGUGUAAAGUCAUUUUUACAUUUCCUUUACAUAUCUGGGGAUGUAAAUAAUUUUUUUUAUUUAUGUUAAUUUGUUUUUGUGUUUUUUUUAAUGCAUUAACAUUUUUCAAUUAAAUAUAUGUGUAUUAGGUAUAUUUUAUUUUUUCAAAUAAAUGGACCUAAAAAAAUUUAAAGGGUGAUUUUAUUUGAACCCCGUAAUUUGCUCUUUUGACCCCAUACUAAUUUUAAAUAACAUAUUUUACCCUUGUAUGUAAUUACCGUUAAGGGCAAAAAAUAUUUAAAAUAAAAAUUAAAUUUGCUCAUUACACUCCACAUACAUUCCUACAACCCUAGUUAGACUUUUUUCUCAAAUCAUCAUGUCCUUAGAACCCUAACAAGGUUUAUAAGCUUAUAUUGGUGAAAACAUACCUAAUAUUUAUUCACGAAGGGUGAGAUUGAAGUUGGUGAGGCUUCGAAUGAGGUAUGAGUUUAUUUUUUAGCGUUUUUCAAGUUUAGGGUUGCAUGGUACGUAGUAGCUGGUUACGUGCAACACACUAGUACUGAACGUAAUAGGAAAAUUUGGUGGCAUGCCACUGAAACAUUGAACUUAUUUCGAUUGUGUUUGACCAGCCGUUAACUUAAGAUGUAGUGGAGGUUCACCAUAAUGUGGAAAGGAGUUUGAUGUCGUAUGACCGAAUUUUACCUAUUAUUCAAUGGCGAGAACCGAAAUAUAUUUGUUUUUUCAGUAAUUUGUUGUCGACCACAAAUUUCAUGCAAGCUAUUUUGACAUUACUCCUAUUGAAGGAACAAAACCAAGGUGACGCCGCUAUUGAAGACAACAAUGUUGGAAUAGAACGUGUGAUGGACUAUAGUGAUCAAUUCACAACUUACGAGGUACUCAUUUGAGUAUCUUUUUUUUUUUUUUGGUUUGAAAUCCUUUUUAGUUUUAUUAACGUGGCAUUAAAAUUUCAAAUUUGAACUUCAAAUAACAUGAGUUUAAUGUGUAUAUAUUCAAAGGUAGAGAUGCAUUAAUUAGAUGAGCUCGUGUACAAGGAAAGAUGAAUAAUAUCGUAAUUGUAAUUAGAAGGUCUGAUUCUGGAGGUGAUUGCAAGAGGAGACAUCGAUUAAUACUUGCUUGUGAGAGGAACGGUAAAUAUGAGCCUUGCAAGUCUAGUGAGACAAAUGGUGUAAGGUCGGAUGCAAAUGGUAAUAUGAAAAAGUGUUCGAGGGACACUGGUACUAAGAAAUGGGGAUGCCCAUUCUUGUUAAAAUGUGUCAAUAUUGAUGAUAUGGAUGAUUGGAAGUUAGAGGUUGUGUGCAGAGUACAUAAUUUGCUCAUAGCAGAUUUUUAUAACAAUCUUAAGGCUCGUUUGGUAUACCAUAUUAGACUCUGGAUAGGAGUAAAUAGUCCAUGUCAGUUGUUUGGUGUCAACUUGUAUUAUUUAAUUACUUGACUAUUUUAAACGGUUUGGGCUUUUAAUACUCUCAUUUCCUGACUAACUAAUACAACUCACACACCCCGAUUUAGAUAAUACAUGCUUAAUUAUAAGGCUUGGAAAAAAAGAACACACGUGAAAGAUCAGACGCUAUAUAUAUAUAUAUAUCUCUCUCUCUCUCAUACUCUCUCCAAUAUGCUUCUCGUCUUCACUCUUCAUCUUCUUCUUUGCUAUCUUCUCUAGAAGUUAUUUGGUGACUGUUUGUGGAAAACACAAAUUAAUAAUUUGUGUGUGGUGGUUUUUUUGUUUGAAUUUCGAAUACCCAAGUUUGUAGCUUUGCUUAGUGUUGAAAUUUGUUCUUGCUUAUUUAUGUUGUUUCGAUUCAAAGCUCAGCCAAACAAGUUUGGUUCUCAAUUCUAUUUUAAUUUUUUUAAUUGGUGGGUCAAUAUAAUUGGCUCUUGAUUCAAAGCUCAGUCCAUAUUUUUUUAUAUAUUAAUUUUUUGGUCAAAAUCUCAUAUUCUAAAUUUUGACUUGGGGGGUUUUGCAUCAAUGAUGUGGUGGGCCAGCAAGGAAGACAAUGAAGGAAGCAGAUAUAGGGAAGAGAGAAUUGGGAAAGAGGUUUCUUGUUUUAGUAUUAGGCAGCCAUUGGAUGUAUCUAAUAGCUACAAUGAUUUGGCAAAAACAAAUGAAAAAACAAUUUUGUCAUAUAAAUCUUACCAAAAAAUUUCGUGUCAUUUGAAUUUCAAUUUCCACUUAAAUUAUCAAAGAAAUAUUUUUUUUUUUUCAAAGGCUGAUAUGAUGUUAUCCGAUGGAACACCAAACACAGUAUAACUUAGUCUGACUAUUUAUUCGAAACAAUACCAAACACCUUAUAAUACUAUAGAUAAACAGUCAGUACUCUUCGAAACAUAUUAUGAUCACCACAAUUCUAUCAGUCUCCGUUCAUAGUAGCUCUCAUUUACUGGCUGGAGAGUGAAAAAAUCUCCAAAUAAAGAGAGACACACACUUCACUUUUUAAUUGUUUUACUCAUUACCAAACAUUAUGGCCACAUUGGAUCUUCCCAUUUGAAUAACCAACGGAAGAGCUGCUACAAAAUUGGUCCGCAACUUUUAUCAUCUAAAAAUAAUAAUAAUAAAUAAAACAUUUCCUGAAAUAUGCUGCUCUUUUUUUUUGGGUUAAUUAUAGUUUAGUAUUCUGUACUUACAUUCCUAAGAUAUAUUAAUUUCUGUUUUUUUAAUUUUAACAAUCACAUACCUCAUUCUUUUAAAUUGUUACAAUGUGAUCCCAGUAGGAGCCAACUACCCACCAUUCCAUUCCAGUACAAAAAUAAGAAGAACAAAGCAAAGCAUUAAUUACUGUUCUUAGCCGUUCUCCCUCUCUCUGUUUCUUUGUUGCCUCCACCAUCCAAAGUUGCCUUCCCAGGACAGAUUCCAGCGACUGCCAUCUGCUUCCACAUGGAUCUGCAGCCACACCCAACCCACCAAAUCCACAUUUCAAAUUGACAACUACGAGAGAUCGUGAGUGCAAGGUUCAAAUUUGAGGUGGGUUUAGACGUUAUAAUCUGAAGAUUGGUGAUGGGUGUCUAGAGAAGAUUUGAAGGGAGACGGAGGGAGAGAAGGCACUGGGCGGAGAUUGAUGUGGUAAGGCUUGAAUCUGGGGCAGGUUUUGAGGCUGCGAUCUAAAAACACAGAUCGGGAGGAGAAAGAGAGAGAGGAGGUGGAGAUGGGGAGAGAGAGAGAGGAAGUGGAUGAUGGAGGGAUAUGAGGUGGAGGUGGAGAAAGAGAAAGAGGAACUGGGCUGAUUUAGAUGGUGGACGGGUGUAGGAAGUGGUGGUGAUGGUUGAGAAACAGUGAGGGUGAUGUCACCGAGAGAGAGAGAUUUAUUUAUUUAUUUUAUUUUUUGGUUUUUAAUAUUUUAUUAAUAUUUUAAUUAAUUUAAAAUUAAUAAAAAUUGAAAAAUGUGGGACCUACAUUGCCACGUAGGCAAUUAAC
rnacentral:lncRNA from 1 species